ACCACAUGGCUCAUAGAGGCCACUUGAUUAAUGCACUUUGAUCGUUCACAAGUGUGCGUGCUUACCCCGAUAAUCAUGUUCCCUCAAGCCUUUGUCUUCUGAUCAAUUAACCCUUUGUUGGCUAGUCGAUCCAACGAUCUAGGGUCCAUCUUGACCCCUCUUGGUAAUACGAUCAAGUGGUCUUAGUUUUUUCACGUUUUAUCCCUUCUUUUUU
rnacentral:lncRNA from 1 species